CCUACGGGAGGCAGCAGUGGGGAAUAUUGGGCAAUGGGCGCAAGCCUGACGCAGCAACGCCGCGUGAAGGAAGAAGGCUUUCGGGUUGUAAACUUCUUUUAUCAGGGACGAAGCAAGUGAUGGUACAUGAUGAAUAAGCCACGGCGAACUACGUGCCAGCAGCCGCGGUAAUACGUAGGUGGCAAGCGUUAUCCGUAGUUACUGGGUGUAAAGGGCGUGUAGGCGGGGCUGCAAGUCAGAUGUGAAAACUAUGGGCUCAACCCAUAGCCUGCAUUUGAAACUGUACUUAUUGAGUGCUGGAGAGGCAAGCGGAAUUCCGGGUGUAGCGGUGAAAUGCGUAGAUAUACGGAGGAACACCGGUGGCGAAGGCGGAUUGCUGGACAGUAACUGACGCUGAGGCGCGAAAGCGUGGGGAGCAAACAGGAUUAGAUACCCUAGUAGUC
rnacentral:rRNA from 1 species